rnacentral:pre_miRNA from 1 species
UUCACGACAGGGACGAAGAGGAGGAACAAGACAACAGAAUGCAUAUUGUGUUGCCUUGUUCCUCCUCUUCGUCCCUGUCGUGAA